AUUGAACGCUGGCGGCAGGCCUAACACAUGCAAGUCGAGCGGAGCGGCGGACGGGUGAGUAAUGCCUAGGAAUCUACCUGGUAGUCGGGGAUAACGUCCGGAAACGGGCGCUAAUACCGCAUACUAUCAGAUGAGACUAGGUCGGAUUAGCUAGGUGGUGGGGUAAAGGCCUACCAAGGCGACGAUCCGUAACUGGUCUGAGAGGAUGAUCAGUCACACGGGAACUGAGACACGGGCCAGACGACUACGGGAGGGAGCAGUGGGGAAUAGUGGACAAUGGGCGAAAGCCUGAUCCAGCCAUGCCGCGUGUGUGAAGAAGGUCUUCGGAUUGGAAAGAACUUUAAGUUGGGAGGCGUUACCAACAGAAUAAGCACCGGCUAACGUCGUGCCAGCAGCCGCGGUAAUUC
rnacentral:rRNA from 1 species